CAGCAUCUUUCAUUGAUCAUCAGAUACGGAUACAGGCAAAGGUGUCAGAGGUUAGCAUAGGCACAGUGAUUUCCAUUGUGGAUGAGGAAUUGCUGAAACUCUCUGCCCAGACAAUGGAGAAUUGAAGAGAAAACCUCGUAAGGACCCAGGAGACUCAAGUUUUGGAUGGAAAUGAGGUAUAUGAUUCUUUGCCUUGUACUACAUCUUCAUUGCUAACAGGUGACGUCACGACCGUUGUACUAAAAUUUGUGCUGAGAUGACCAAAAUUUUGCGACUGGUAGGAAACCCCAUCUUUAAUUGCUAAGAAAACAUCCAAACAUUUUGUUGAUGUGUUAUCCAUUUUUUUUUAUAUAUAUUUUGUAAUAAAAUUGGAAAUAUGUACUUGCCUUGUGCGUGGAGUAAGCUAUUUCUUUACUAUUGCCUAUUUCCUGCCAUA